rnacentral:tRNA from 1 species
AGCCUGCUAGCUCAGUCAGUUAGCGCGUCGUGCUAAUAACGCGAAGGUCACAGGUUCGAUUCCUGUGCAGGCCG